UACGUAGGUGGCAAGCGUUGUCCGGAUUUACUGGGCGUAAAGAGCGCGCAGGCGGUCGUUCAAGUCGCGUGUGAAAGCCCCCGGCUCAACUGGGGAGGGUCACGCGAUACUGAUCGACUCGAAGGCAGGAGAGGGUAGUGGAAUUCCCGGUGUAGCGGUGAAAUGCGCAGAUAUCGGGAGGAACACCAGUAGCGAAGGCGGCACUCUGGGCCGUGACUGACGCUGAGGAGCGAAAGCGUGGGUAGCAAACAGG
rnacentral:rRNA from 1 species